CCACUUAGGCUGCUGCGUGUCACACAAUGACACAGUUAUCUGUUACGUGUCAUGUAACAUGUUCGUUCCUCUUCAUAUAAAAGGAAAAAACCCUAGCUCGCCUUCCUCUUUUUUUCUUCUUCCCUGACCCUGCUGCAGCGCUGCUGAGUCUCCUACUCUCCUGAGUAAACUUCACAGAUUCACAGAAGUGACAGAAAAAUUAUUAGAUUCAUCUAAAGAUCAAAGACAGUCUUGAAGAGAAAUACAAGAGCGGAUUGAUUUUCUGGGCUCGUGAAGAUCGGAGGAAUACAACAACGAAUUGAUUUUCUGGGUUCGUGAAGAGUGAAUUGAUUUUCUGUUCGAUUAAUAAUAUAUUGGAGUUCUAGUGAAAUCUUUAAAUUUUGGUUUGAGCAGUUUGGAUAAGUGGUUGUCCCCUAAAUCUGAUGUCAAGUGUACAAGAGCAAGAGUUACCAGAACCAGACCAUUUCAAGGA